CGGGGCCCCGGCGGCUCGGCCCGGCGCGGGCGGGAGGCUCGGGCGGGCGGCCCCGCGCGGGACGCGGGUGCGGGCGCCCGGGAGGUGCCGACAGCCGCCUCGGACCCGGUAACUUAACAAGAUUAAAAUUAAAUUGGUUGAUGAUGGUUCUGAACAAAUACAGCCCUUUUAUUUGAGGUAUGCCAUUUUGAAGACUGAGAUCCAUGGAGUUUUAUCCUUGAGUAUAAAAGGAAAUAUUUGCUAAAAUCUUUAUUUUAUAUAGCAAAAAUGUGAAUCCAGAGACUGAAUUCUCUAAAGGGCCUGUACAACGUAAUAGAUGUUGGUGGAAGAAUUUACACCCAGUCAGCUUGAAGAGUCUCAAAUGGAUCCCUACCACUGAGAAAACAAGAUGGCAGUCCACUAUGGGGAAUUGAGGAAAAUGGAUUAAUACCAGAGUGCUGUGAUAAUAUACAACCAAGACAGGGUUCUUUUAACAUGGAUUUCAUGAAAUGAAUGAAGACAUAGGUUUCUUACCCAGCACAAAUGGACAGUGGAUUUGACUUUCCAAAGACUUUUUGUAUCAUUAAAACAAGUAUAUUUUUGACAUUUGGAGAAGAAAGAUGGCACAUUAACACAGAUGUUAGUUUGUAUGCCUGGAAGUUUUUGCAGUUUGAUUUGUAUGAGUAUGACUUUGUGGAAUGUUAACUUUAAUAAAAUUUCUAACACUUUAAAAUUU